rnacentral:rRNA from 1 species
CCUACGGGAGGCAGCAGUGGGGAAUUUUCCGCAAUGGGCGAAAGCCUGACGGAGCAACGCCGCGUGAGGGAUGAAGGCCUCUGGGCUGUAAACCUCUUUUAUCAAGGAAGAAGAUCUGACGGUACUUGAUGAAUAAGCCACGGCUAAUUCCGUGCCAGCAGCCGCGGUAAUACGGGAGUGGCAAGCGUUAUCCGGAAUUAUUGGGCGUAAAGCGUCCGCAGGCGGUCUUGUAAGUCUGUCGUUAAAGCGUGGAGCUCAACUCCAUUUCGGCGGUGGAAACUACAAGACUAGAGUGUGGUAGGGGCAGAGGGAAUUCCCGGUGUAGCGGUGAAAUGCGUAGAUAUCGGGAAGAACACCAGUGGCGAAGGCGCUCUGCUGGGCCAUAACUGACGCUCAUGGACGAAAGCUAGGGGAGCGAAAGGGAUUAGAUACCCCUGUAGUCCUAGCCGUAAACGAUGAACACUAGGUGUCGGGGAAUCGACCCCCUCGGUGUCGUAGCUAACGCGUUAAGUGUUCCGCCUGGGGAGUACGCACGCAAGUGUGAACUUAAAGGAAUUGACGG